AUGAAGAACCUCAUAGGGACUUCAAGGGGGGGAUAUCCCUAUGAAGAACCUCAUAGGGACUUUGGAGUGGGACAUCCCUAUGAAGAACCUGCAUUCUGGGGAGGGGAAGAGUCACUGCAUCGCACAGCCCAGGGCCAAGGGGACUGCCCAGCUCUCCAAGGGGACCGGCAGGAAACAGGUGCUGACCCACCUUGUGCAGCAGGAGUUGUUGUUGCACACAGACGGCCACGGAGUCCCAGACGGCCACUCGCUCUGCAGAGCAAAGGUAAAGCAGGUUGCAGCCCAUCUACCCCUUCCCAGCAUCCCGACUGCCUCAGAGCGGGAUGGCAGGUGAAAAGGGUCAGCGUCAUCCCUGAUCCCAAAGAGAGACAGCCCCGAGGAAGAGUGCUGGUUCCGGCCCACUCGCUGCCAGGACCCAUUGGCAGCGGUGCCGUGUGCUGGCUGUGGAUCCCCGUACCUUUGGUGGUGCCAUAUGGACUCCUGGAGGCACAGCCCGUUGCGGGGCCGUCCUCCCACCAGCUUAACUUGGUACGCAUCACACGCGCAGGUUGCUCCUUGUUGGCAGCAGCCAUGUGGGAGCUCACCCCUUCCAGAUGCUUCCAGUCGUCUGCCAGAAGCUCCUCCAGGAUGUGGCACCCACCACCCUGCAGCCGCUCUGAUGCUGCUCCUGGGUUCCAUGUCACACAGCAGCCCAUUGUGACGCAAUGGAAUGCAGCCGGUGAUGGCUGCUGCCCAUUCUGUGCCUGCCUGCUGCCUGCCCUGCCUGCAGGAGCCCAGCUCUGCUCUUUUCAGGCUGAUGCUCAUCCCCUGUGUGCCAUGGCCCCCACCAGAAGGGAUGGAGGUGGCUCUGGGCCCGAGGCACGUUCACCUGCAGCCCUCCCGCUGCCCUCUCCUCCUGCUCCACUCCCAGCCCUGCUCUUCUCACCAUCCCACCCACACUUGAACUCCUCCUUGUGGGUAGAUGAGAAGCUGAUGCACAGGCCACGGCUGCCAGCGUGCAGCUGGGCUUCCCAGGGCAAACAGCAACACACGGUGCAUCAGAAGCUGAAAGAGCCCUCAGGGAAGAGAGGCCAACUCAAGGCGCAGGGACACCUUUCUUCCUCCCACGCUGCUUUUGUUUCUCUCAGCCCUCAGAGAGCAAGGAGAUGCUCACAGCCUGUCACCAGCACUUACGGGUUGGCUGAAAGGCCACAGGUUGGGAAGACCAACAAGGAAACGGGGGAAAACCUGCACCAUGUCAAGGGAGAGACGUGA
rnacentral:lncRNA from 1 species